UACGGAGGGGACUAGCGUUGUUCGGAAUUACUGGGCGUAAAGCGCACGUAGGCGGAUUUGUAAGUCAGGGGUGAAAUCCCGGGGCUCAACCUCGGAACUGCCUUUGAUACUGCAAAUCUCGAGUCCGGAAGAGGUGAGUGGAAUUCCUAGUGUAGAGGUGAAAUUCGUAGAUAUUAGGAAGAACACCAGUGGCGAAGGCGGCUCACUGGUCCGGAACUGACGCUCAUGCACGAAAGCGUGGGGAGCAAACAGG
rnacentral:rRNA from 1 species